CUAGCACUAGGAGAAGGGGACCAGGGAGAGAUGGAGUGGGAGAAUAUAGGCAAAAGAGCAAGGUGGCCAUCAACUGUUCAUCUGUUUUUUGCUCAGAGGCCAGUUUUUCCUUAAAUGAUGGAAUAUACAACUAGGUUCAUUCUAGGAUGAGGGCUCAAGAUAAGAGAUGAAUGGACUGAAAAAAAAAACACAAUAUCAACUCAAGUACAUGAAGAAUUAAUUAUAGUUGGUCCAAGACAUGAAAACAAGAGAAGCUAAGUGGUGCAGUUGGUAGAGUGUCAGGUCUGGAGUCAGGAGGAUCUGAGUUCUAAUGUGGCCCAGACACUCACUAUUUUAUGACACUGGGAAAGUCACUUAACCCUGUUUGCUUCAAUUUCUUCAUCUGUGAAAUGAACUAAUGAGAAAAUGACAAACCACUCCAGUAUCUUUGCAAAAAAAACCCCUCAAAUGUGGCCACAAAGGUCAGAAACAAAUCGACAACCACAAGAACAACAACAACAACAACAAAAACAAAAACAACUUGAAGAUACUUGAUGACAUUAAUAAAAAUGAGGUCAUUCUGAGGGGAAGUGGAAUUGCAGUUGAUUUUGUGAAAAGGAAAAAAUUAAGACGAGAAUCAAAACAUGAAUCUUAAUCUACAGCAUCAUAGAUUAAUUUUAAUUAAAAUGUAAUGAAUGCUUCAUAUAGCAAAACCUUGAUACAUAGUAUUUCUAAUUGUCUUUGCUCACUAUGGCCAAGUUUGAAUGUCUCACAAAUAGGUCACAGAAGUACUUAUAUUUUCCUUUUAUUUUUAAUAGUAUUUUAUUUUUCCCCAGUUACAUGCCAAGAAAACUUUUAGUAUUGAUUUUGUAAGAUUUUGAGUGCCGUUUUUUUCUCCCUCCUUCCCUCCCCUCUCCCCUUUUGAAAAUGGUAGGUAGUGUGAUCUUGUUUAUGAAUGUACAAUUGCAUUUAUAAUAUUUCCAUAUUAAUUACAGCUGUGAAAGAAGAAACAGAUAAAUAUAAACCAGAAGAAAG